UAUGCAAAAGGAAACAAGAUGGAGGGCUUGGCCUCCGUGCCGCACUCUUCAGCGGCUACUGCAACCUCCACCUCGACUCCAGCGGCCCCGACAGCACGGAAGCAGCUGGACAAAGAGCAGGUUAGAAAGGCAGUGGACGCUCUCUUGACACAUUGCAAGUCCAGGAAAAACAAUUAUGGGUUACUUUUGAAUGAGAAUGAAAAUUUAUUUUUAAUGGUGGUAUUAUGGAAAAUUCCAAGUAAAGAACUGAGGGUCAGAUUGACCUUGCCUCAUAGUAUUCAAUCAGAUUCAGAAGAUAUCUGUUUAUUUACGAAGGAUGAACCCAAUUCAACUUCUGAAAAGACAGAACAGUUUUAUAGGAAGCUUUUAAACAAGCAUGGAAUUAAAACCAUUUCUCAGAUUAUCUCCCUCCAAACUCUAAAGAAGGAAUAUAAACCCUAUGAAGCCAAGCUCCGCCUUCUGAGCAGUUUUGACUUCUUCCUUACUGAUGCCAGAAUUAGGCGGCUCUUACCCUCACUCAUUGGGAGACAUUUUUGUCAAAGAAAGAAAGUUCCAGUAUCUGUAAACCUUUUGUCCAAGAAUUUAUCAAGAGAGAUCAAUGACUGUAUAGGUGGAACGGUGUUAAACAUUUCUAAAAGUGGUUCUUGCAGUGCUAUACGUAUCGGUCACGUUGGAAUGCAAACUGAGCACAUCAUUGAAAACAUUGUUGCUGUCACCAAAGGACUUCCAGAAAAAUUGCCAGAGAAGUGGGAGAGCGUGAAACUCCUGUUUGUGAAAACUGAGAAAUCGGCUGCUCUUCCCAUCUUUUCCUCAUUUGUCAGCAAUUGGGAUGAAGCCACCAAAAGAUCUUUGCUUAAUAAGAAGAAAAAAGAGGCAAGGAGAAAACGAAGAGAAAGAAAUUUUGAAAAACAAAAGGAGAGGAAAAAGAAGAGGCAGCAGGCUAGGAAGACCGCAUCAGUUCUUAGUAAAGAUGAUGUGGCACCUGAGUGGUGAUACUACAGUAAAGAAACCUGAAUCAAAGAAGGAACAGACCCCAGAGCAUGGGAAGAAAAAACGUGGCAGAGGAAAAGCCCAAGUUAAAGCAACAAAUGAAUCCGAAGACGAAAUUCCACAGCUGGUACCAAUAGGAAAGAAGACUCCAGCUAAUUAAAAUGUAGAGAUUCAAAAACAUGCCACAGGAAAGAAGUCUCCAACAAAGAGUCCUAAUCCCAGCACACCUCGUGGGAAGAAAAGAAGGGCCUUGCCAGCAUCUGAGACCCCAAAAGCUGCAGAGUCUGAGACCCCAGGGAAAGGCCCAGGGAAGAAGCCAAAAAUCAAAGAAGAGGCAGUGAAGGAAAAAAAUCCUUCACUGGGGAAAAAAGAUGCGAGACAGACUCCAAAAAAGCCAGAGGCCAAGUUCUUCACCACUUCUAGUAAAUCUGUGAGAAAAGCUUCCCACACCCUCCAAAAAUGGCCCAAAAAACCCAAAGUACCUCAGUCGACCUAA